UGGUAUGUAGUUCAAGUGGCAGAAUGUUUGUCUAGUGUACAAAAAGCUCUGAGUUCUAUUCCCAGCACUGUAA
rfam:Cricetulus griseus cell line CHO-K1, whole genome shotgun sequence.